CCUACGGGAGGCAGCAGUGAGGAAUAUUGGUCAAUGGACGAGAGUCUGAACCAGCCAAGUAGCGUGAAGGAUGACUGCCCUAUGGGUUGUAAACUUCUUUUAUAUGGGAAUAAAAUGUUCCACGUGUGGGAUUUUGUAUGUACCAUAUGAAUAAGGAUCGGCUAACUCCGUGCCAGCAGCCGCGGUAAUACGGGGGAUGCAAGCGUUAUCCGGAUUUAUUGGGUUUAAAGGGUGCGUAGGCUGUGAGGUAAGUCAGCGGUGAAAUGCCCCCGCUCAACGGGGUGAAGUGCCAUUGAUACUGCCUUGCUGGAAUGCGGAUGCCGUGGGAGGAAUGUGUGGUGUAGCGGUGAAAUGCAUAGAUAUCACACAGAACACCGAUUGCGAAGGCAUCUCACGAAUCCGCGAUUGACGCUGAUGCACGAAAGCGUGGGUAUCAAACAGGAUUAGAUACCCGUGUAGUC
rnacentral:rRNA from 1 species